AGUUCAUUGUUGUCACAUUCCAUUCGCGCUGGAGAAUCAGGCCCUUUAUUCAUAACAUCCGAAAAAAAAAUCACGAAAGUUUACGAUCUUCCACACAGGGGUCCCCCCUUAAUGCUUUUUGCUCUAUCGAACGAAGACAUUUUCCCCAGUGGCUUUCGUUUGUUGUUACAUGCUAGACAUAGUGAUCCCUGAUAAUCGUUCGAUUAAUCGAUUAAUCGAAUACUUCCUACAGAAAUCGAUUAUUAAUCGAACGAAUACUGAACCAAGAUGUAUAGAAGUAUUACUAAGUUUUACAAGCACUGAUUUACGAGAUGGCUUACUGUGCUGGUCAUGGUUGCGGAACAACACGUUCGCAAAACAAUAGAACAGCGCGAACUCGUCCAAAUAUACGCCCAACAUCCUUCAUCACAGUUCAUAGCCGUUUCAUGAUCACGAGGUACACCAAGCUUAGUUUUAUUGCCAACAGACCUUAGUUCAUUAGGCAGAAGAUUAGGUCCAGAGAGCCAGCUAACAUCAUCGAAUUCAACGCACUACAGGCAUGGAGAACAAUUUAGUUCUGAUGACACACAUCACACCGUUCAGCUCUUUCCAAUGCAUCGGUUUUGCUGAAUAAACUCAACCACCUAUCGUAUAUGCUACAAGUAAAAUACUUCACUACUUACCAAGGAAGACACAGAUUUUUGUGUUUUAAAUUCCAUCUCUAUUUCAAUAAACCUGUUAUAUCUGUUCCAGUUGGAGCGUCUGAUAGAAUAAAAAUCUUUUUGUAAGUAUUGAGGUUGGUAAACUGAGUUAAUUUUAGAUUUUUUUCUACUUGCAGUAGGAGCAGCGGAAAUCUCGUCAAGACAACAUCUGGACAACAUGAAUUGUUCAUCGCUGCUUUAUGAACACGAGCCACACAGCUCGGUUUCAUUGCCAACGAGCCGCAGUUCAUGAUGCAGACCAUUGAAGACCCAGCUAGCAUCAUGCAUUUUAGACGGGAAAACACAAUCUAGUUUAUAUGCCGCUAGUUUCAUUACUUUCGAACCAGACAUCGUUGCCAAUGAUCGUAUCGCAACACGAUGGCAAAGCAGCAGGUUCAUCCAACCCUCAACCGUAGCGUGUACUUCAACAAAUUUCCCAAGAGGCUCUCAUGCUGCAACAAAGAAUCAACGUGCAAAUACCCUGCUAACAUAAACAAAUUCGACGCACUUUUUCUUCUGUGAAAGCUUUGAAUCACUGCGACUACUAGUUUGAUCUAUUGUGAUGAUUCAAGGCACUUAUAUAAAAUCUAACGCAUGUUUCUUGCUACCGAAUCUGAGCUGCAUCCACCGCACAACCACAAGAUAUACAUCAACAAGUUCGCCAAGUAAUGAUAAUGUUUAUCGAUGAAUCAACUGUAACAGUCAAAUUUUACACAAGCAACUUCAGGCAUUUCAGAUAGAAAAGAUAAUCUUGAUAAGUUAAGUCAGCUAUCCGAUACUACAAUCCAAUAUUAGUACUAAUCAGUUUUUGAAAACAUUUUGUAGAUACAAAUCAACAAGGGUCGCCAAUUGUCACGCAACAUGUUUAAAUAGUGAUACAGUAGAUGCACCCACCUGAGCAACAUUAUACACCUCAGUACAUUUUCCAAAAAGCAGUCGGGUUCAUUAAUAAUUAAAAUACAAGGAUUGUCACGAUUGGUCAUUCCGCCACGCACAACAGCAUAACAGCUGUUCUCAUUUUUUUUAUUUAAUGAUAUAUUUAUGUUUUUCUUUUUUUUUUGUAUAUUUUUCUUAAAUUAUGUACAUUUUUAUUGCCUGUUAAGACCAUGGCGCAUCAACUUAUGAAUGACAAUGUAAAGGUAAUAAAUUAAUAUAGUUAGAAAACUACGAUCAGUUCGUACAACAGAAUAUAAAAUACUAAAUUAUUUAAAAAAUAAAAACUAUU